AACAUGGGGAGAGAACAACACAGCGGACGUCCGCGCGCGACACUGCCGACAGACUGCGGGCUCGCGUGUCAAUGUACCGUGUCGGAGCUAAGGCGGAUUACACAAUACAGCCUCAACUCACGCUAAAACCAGCUUGUUGCUCUUUAGCGAUUACGUUACAUUACCGGACGGUGUUUUAUUUUGACGUGGGUACGCCUUUAAAGCUUCCAUAAUAAGUUAAACAGAUGACAAUAAAAUCGGGAGAUACAGCUUACUGUUUUAGCAAAAUAUCGUAUUUAAUACAACCUCAACUCACGCUAAAACCAGCUUGUUGCUCUUUAGCGAUUACGUUACAUUACCGGACGGUGUUUUAUUUUGACGUGGGUAUGCCUUUAAAGCUUCCAUAAUAAGUUAAACAGAUGACAAUAAAAUCGGGAGAUAAAGCUUCCUGUUUUAGCAAAAUAUCGUAUUUAAUACAGCCUCAACUCACGCUAAAACAAGCUCGUUGCUCUUUAGCGAUUACGUUACAUUACCGGACGGUGUUUUAUUUUGACGUGGGUACGCCUUUAAAGCUUCCAUAAUAAGAUAAACAGAUGACAAUAAAAUCGGGAGAUACAGCGUACUGUUUUAGCAAAAUAUCGUAUUUAAUACAGCCUCAACUCACGCUAAAACCAGCUUGUUGCUCUUUAGCGAUUACGUUGCAUUACUGGACGGUGUUUUAUUUUGACGUGAGUACGCCUUUAAAGCUUCCAUAAUAAGAUAAACAGAUGACAAUAAAAUCGGGAUAUACAGCUUAGUGUUUUAGCAACAUAUCGUCAAAAAUUUCAUUAUACCACUAUUAAAAAACAUUGACACGUGAAAUAUAUAGCCUUAUUCACGGCAGUCUCAGUGACUGUCAACUCAUACUGCUAAAACCAGCAGCUAAAACUAAUUGAAGUGAUAACUUCUUAUAGGAGGGUAACCCACUUUGUAACGUAACGCGUUACGGCGCCCCUCUAUCUGGCUUUCCUUUCUCUCACGCAUACGGCACCUUUUUUUUAAUAUCUGAAUUUUGUUACAUUACUUUUACGUAAGCACUUUUAAUUAUUUUUUUCUAUAUUGUGAGAGAAUACGAAAAAUCCGGAGACAGUUUAAAAUUGCCACUUCACAUCAAGUCUAAAAUGAUAGUACUUACGCAGCUUCAUAUCUAAAGGAUCAAAUUACUUGCAUAACAGCAUCCAGAGUUUAAUUACACUACCAGAUAACUAAAGGAUGAAAGAACGUAGAGAAAGCGAGACGUGUCGCGCGCUACGGAUGGGAGAGCAUCCUCAUUUCGUUCUGUAUUCGUAUAAAUACGUAUUCACCAAUUCUUUUCUAUCCAACUACGUAGGUACUCAUUUCGGAAAAUUGAUCAUACAUCGUACACAUUACAAAAAACCUGGUUUUUUUUAACGAAUUUAAACGUAAUAAGGUUUUGUUGCUUAAAACGUAAAUUGUCUUUGCUCUGACACCUAACGCAUUUCUAAAAUGCAAUAAAAACCCACUUAAAAACGAAAAGAGAGAAAAUAACAUAAUGUAAUAUUACAUACUAGCAGACACUUAGAAAAGAAAGAAUGAAAAGUUUAUUCAGAAUACUCGUCAAACAAAACAAGGAAAAGAUAAAAACAAUGUUUAAAAUACUUUACAAAAAAUACUUUUUACUUUAGCAUGAUGUAAUCCUAAAAGGGUCUCCACCAUGAGUCAUGUAGGCUGUAUUUUAGGUUACAUAGGCUAGAAAUAAAUAGGCUUUCUAUUGAUAAGAAAAUUAUCAAAAUCGCUUCAUUAGAUCUAGAAAUUACCCCCUACAACCACUUGAACAUUACCUCUAUAAUAAUUAUUAGUAUAGAAAAAUCAAUCAAGCUUUAUAUAUUUAAUUUAACUCUCACGUUACCAUUAUAAACAUAGAUUUAUAUUCCACGAGACAGGCGAGAGCAGAAAAGAUGGUCGUAGGUACUCGGCCUACAUUCACCAUCCGUUGUGCGAACGCAUGUGUACUCUCUCGCUCGCUCCGCUGUACGUACUCAUUUACAUAAUAAGGACGGAAUAUGUAAUUCAAUGACGAAAACCCACCGUGAAUAUAGAAUGUACUUUAUAACUGACUGCUUUGAGUCCCAUUGCGGUGGCUACAGGCUUUAUAAUUAUGUUUGCGCUAAUCGAAUGUUAAGUUGUAGUUAACACUUUCAUUACCGCUACGAUUUUCACGAUGUUUUCUCGGGAGCCGCCUACAUUUUACGUUGGACUCGCUAGGUGAGUCGCCGGCGCUGCGAUACGAAUCAUUCGACUCGCCACGCGAGUUCAGUGGCAUUGCGUUAGGGUAAAAACUAUGUUCUGUUAUUUUUGUGGCCGUGACAGUGUACGUUACGUGUUUAAAGCAAUUAACUAGUAUAUGGUGUAAUUUAACAAAAAGAAAAUGGCAAGAAACACUAUAAAUAAACGAAAAGGCCACCACAAAACACAAUAACAUAGAACACAAGAAUCUCAAAGUCCAGAAAACGUUUGCCAGGGGUUAAAACAGUAGGUACUCCAACAGGUCCAGUAAUCGAAAGCCAAGUCACAAUGAUAGAAAACAAAUAUACGCGUGCGAUAAGGAAAGGGUCGUGCUUAACACUAAUCUAUAUAUAAAGAAAGUCGGGUUUGUUACAACACUUCACUCGAGAUUGACCAAUGAGAGCUUGGCAAAAACAAUGUUAUCAGUGCUUUUAUUGCUUACUAACCAGAGCGUUCAUGUUAAAAAAUACCGGUUCCUUUUGUUUUGCCGGCAAUUUUUAACAAUGCGAAGGGAUCCUCUUUCAGUUGUAACUCUUAAAGUAAUAGACCGAGAGUUGAGUUUGUGUUUUCUGCACCGUUCGUUUAACAAAAACGCAAGGACAGACUCAAAAACUUAGAAGUACCCAUUUGGUGAACACCAAAUUCGAGCCCCUACAAGGUGUCGAACACAAUCCGCCGUUGUUUUACGAGUGAAUGUGACUUUUGGUAAAAUGAAAAUAAAAGUAUCUACCUUUUA